rnacentral:rRNA from 1 species
CUUGACAAAAAAGCCCUGUCUCUAGUCCUUUUAUAAAAAAUACUAUGAAAGUAAUAAAGCUUUCUAUAUUUAGAGGGACGACAAGACCCUAAAAUCUUUUUUAAGUCUUUUCUCCUGCUUAGACUACAAUCGUAAAAGUAAGUAAAAAUUACUGGGGCGGUAAUAUUUAUCAACAAAUAUUAACAGCACGCCCUGAGCGGCUACUUAUACCCUGGUCAGUAAAUAACAAGAUACUUUAGGGAUAACAGCAUAAUUCUUCUCCAGAGCCCUAAUCGCCAGAAGAGUUUGUGACCUCGAUGUUGAAUUGAAUACGCUCUUUUGAGUAGCCCCAAGAGUAGUAAGUCUGUUCGACUUUUAAACCUUCACAUGAUCUGAGUUCAAACCGAA